GAUGAAGAACGCAGCGAAAUGCGAUAAGUAAUGUGAAUUGCAGAAUUCAGUGAAUCAUCGAAUCUUUGAACGCACAUUGCGCCCGCCAGUAUUCUGGCGGGCAUGCCUGUCCGAGCGUCAUUUCAACCCUCGAACCCCUCCGGGGGGUCGGCGUUGGGGAUCGGCCCUUUCACCGGGUGCCGGCCCCUAAAUACAGUGGCGGUCUCGCCGCAGCCUCUCAUGCGCAGUAGUUUGCACACUCGCACCGGGAGCGCGGCGCGUCCUCGUCCGUAAAACACCCCAAACUUCUGAAAUGUUGACCUCGGAUCAGGUAGGAAUACCCGCUGAACUUAAGCAUAUCAAUAAGCGGAGG
rnacentral:misc_RNA from 1 species